AGUGAACGCUGGCGGUAGGCCUAACACAUGCAAGUCGAACGGCAGCACAGUAAGAGCUUGCUCUUACGGGUGGCGAGUGGCGGACGGGUGAGGAAUACAUCGGAAUUUACUUUUUCGGGGGGGAUAACGUAGGGAAACUUACGCUAAUACCGCAUACGACCUACGGGUGAAAGCAGGGGAUCUUCGGGCCUUGCGCGAUUGAAUGAGCCGAUGUCGGAUUAGCUAGUUGGCGGGGUAAAGGCCCACCAAGGCGACGAUCCGUAGCUGGUCUGAGAGGAUGAUCAGCCACACUGGAACUGAGACACGGUCCAGACUCCUACGGGAGGCAGCAGUGGGGAAUAUUGGACAAUGGGCGCAAGCCUGAUCCAGCCAUACCGCGUGGGUGAAGAAGGCCUUCGGGUUGUAAAGCCCUUUUGUUGGGAAAGAAAAGCAGCAGGUUAAUACCCCGCUGUUCUGACGGUACCCAAAGAAUAAGCACCGGCUAACUUCGUG
rnacentral:rRNA from 1 species